GACGGAGGGGGCUAGCGUUGUUCGGAAUGACUGGGCGUAAAGGGCGCGUAGGCGGUUUUUUAAGUGAGGCGUGAAAGCCCUGGGCUUAACCCAGGAGGUGCGUUUCAGACUGAAAGACUUGAGUGCGAGAGAGGAAAGUGGAAUUCCUAGUGUAGAGGUGAAAUUCGUAGAUAUUAGGAAGAACACCCGUGGCGAAGGCGGCUUUCUGGCUCGCAACUGACGCUGAGGCGCGAAAGCGUGGGGAGCAAACAGG
rnacentral:rRNA from 1 species